rnacentral:tRNA from 1 species
UGGGUUGUAGCUCAGUGGUAGAGUGUUUGCUUAGCAUGCACAAGACACUGGGUUCAAUCCUCAGCACCACAU